rnacentral:rRNA from 1 species
GAGCUUGCUCUCGGGUGACGAGUGGCGGACGGGUGAGUAAUGUCUGGGAAACUGCCUGAUGGAGGGGGAUAACUACUGGAAACGGUAGCUAAUACCGCAUAACGUCGCAAGACCAAAGAGGGGGACCUUCGGGCCUCUUGCCAUCAGAUGUGCCCAGAUGGGAUUAGCUAGUAGGUGGGGUAACGGCUCACCUAGGCGACGAUCCCUAGCUGGUCUGAGAGGAUGACCAGCCACACUGGAACUGAGACACGGUCCAGACUCCUACGGGAGGCAGCAGUGGGGAAUAUUGCACAAUGGGCGCAAGCCUGAUGCAGCCAUGCCGCGUGUAUGAAGAAGGCCUUCGGGUUGUAAAGUACUUUCAGCGGGGAGGAAGGUGUUGUGGUUAAUAACCACAGCAAUUGACGUUACCCGCAGAAGAAGCACCGGCUAACUCCGUGCCAGCAGCCGCGGUAAUACGGAGGGUGCAAGCGUUAAUCGGAAUUACUGGGCGUAAAGCGCACGCAGGCGGUCUGUCAAGUCGGAUGUGAAAUCCCCGGGCUCAACCUGGGAACUGCAUUCGAAACUGGCAGGCUAGAGUCUUGUAGAGGGGGGUAGAAUUCCAGGUGUAGCGGUGAAAUGCGUAGAGAUCUGGAGGAAUACCGGUGGCGAAGGCGGCCCCCCUGGACAAAGACUGACGCUCAGGUGCGAAAGCGUGGGGAGCAAACAGGAUUAGAUACCCUGGUAGUCCACGCCGUAAACGAUGUCGAUUUGGAGGUUGUGCCCUUGAGGCGUGGCUUCCGAGCUACGCGUUAAUCGACCGCCUGGGAUACGGCCGCAAGGUUAAAACUCAAAUGAAUUGACGGGGGCCCGCACAAGCGGUGGAGCAUGUGGUUUAAUUCGAUGCAACGCGAAGAACCUUACCUGGUCUUGACAUCCACAGAACUUUCCAGAGAUGGAUUGGUGCCUUCGGGAACUGUGAGACAGGUGCUGCAUGGCUGUCGUCAGCUCGUGUUGUGAAAUGUUGGGUUAAGUCCCGCAACGAGCGCAACCCUUAUCCUUUGUUGCCAGCGGUUAGGCCGGGAACUCAAAGGAGACUGCCAGUGAUAAACUGGAGGAAGGUGGGGAUGACGUCAAGUCAUCAUGGCCCUUACGACCAGGGCUACACACGUGCUACAAUGGCGCAUACAAAGAGAAGCGACCUCGCGAGAGCAAGCGGACCUCAUAAAGUGCGUCGUAGUCCGGAUUGGAGUCUGCAACUCGACUCCAUGAAGUCGGAAUCGCUAGUAAUCGUAGAUCAGAAUGCUACGGUGAAUACGUUCCCGGGCCUUGUACACACACGCCCGUCACACCAUGGGAGUGGGUUGCAAAAGAAGUAGGUAGCUUAACCUUCGGGAGGGCGCUUACCAC